rnacentral:rRNA from 1 species
GACGAACGCUGGCGGCGUGCCUAAUACAUGCAAGUAGAACGCUGAAGGAGGAGCUUGCUUCUCUGGAUGAGUUGCGAACGGGUGAGUAACGCAUAGGUAACCUGCCUGGUAGCGGGGGAUAACUAUUGGAAACGAUAGCUAAUACCGCAUAAGAGUAGAUGUUGCAUGACAUUUGCUUAAAAGGUGCAAUUGCAUCACUACCAGAUGGACCUGCGUUGUAUUAGCUAGUUGGUGGGGUAACGGCUCACCAAGGCGACGAUACAUAGCCGACCUGAGAGGGUGAUCGGCCACACUGGGACUGAGACACGGCCCAGACUCCUACGGGAGGCAGCAGUAGGGAAUCUUCGGCAAUGGACGGAAGUCUGACCGAGCAACGCCGCGUGAGUGAAGAAGGUUUUCGGAUCGUAAAGCUCUGUUGUAAGAGAAGAACGAGUGUGAGAGUGGAAAGUUCACACUGUGACGGUAUCUUACCAGAAAGGGACGGCUAACUACGUG